UCACAAAAUCCCAAAUGAAAAAAAUGCCAUUCCUCUUACUUAUUAUCUGCAACCAAUAUUAAUCCCAAAAUAGAGAAGAAGAAGAAGAAGAAAAUAAAAAACCAAAAACCAAAAAAUCCAAAAAUCAAAAGUCAAUAGUUUCAGUUUUCACUUCAUAGUUAGCACACUCUUCCUCUCCUCUCCUUCAUUCCUAAACCCAGUACUGUGUAUAUUCCUGAUUCUUCGAACUCAAACCCUAAACCUAAUGGAAGUUACUUCAAUACACGGCAAUCGCAUUUUGUCUCCGCUUCGUUCUUCAAUACACGGCAAUCGUCCUCUCUCAGUCCUCUCUAGGGUUUCAUUCUCAGCUCGGAGGAACCCUAGCCUCGCAUCCAACUACCACUCGAUUCGCCGGAGGAAUCCAUGCUCUGCGUCGAGCUCCGACACCUUGGUGGCCGGAAAAGAUGGGAAGCCAAAGAAUCGGGAAGUUGAGAGCAAGAAAGGGGAGGAGGAAGGUGAAGACUUGAAAUCUUGGAUGCACGAGAAUGGCCUCCCGCCUUGCAAGGUUUUGCUCAAGGAAAGGCCCUCCCACGAUGAGAAGCACAGUCCCAUACAUUACGUAGCUGCUAGUGAAGAUCUUCAGGUGGGUGAUGUUGCAUUCUCUGUUCCGAAUUCGCUGGUCGUGACGCUUGAGAGAGUUUUGGGGAACGAGACCAUUGCGGAAUUAUUAACUACGAAUAAAUUGUCGGAAUUGGCAUGCUUGGCAUUGUAUCUGAUGUAUGAGAAGAAGCAAGGGAAGAAGUCUUUCUGGUACCCAUACAUUAGAGAGCUUGAUCGUCAACGAGGGAGAGGACAGCUUGCAGUGGAAUCUCCCCUUCUAUGGUCAGAAGCUGAACUGGCCUACCUAACAGGCAGCCCCAUGAAGGCUGAAGUUAUUGGAAGGGCUGCAGGAAUUAAAAGGGAGUACAAUGAACUUGACACCGUCUGGUUUAUGGCUGGGUCUCUGUUUCAGCAAUACCCAUAUGAUAUUCCUACUGAGGCCUUUUCAUUUGAGAUAUUCAAGCAAGCAUUCGUUGCUGUUCAGUCUUGUGUUGUGCAUUUGCAGAAAGUCAGUUUGGCUCGGCGAUUUGCUUUGGUUCCUCUUGGACCACCAUUGCUGGCUUACAGAAGCAACUGCAAGGCAAUGUUAACUGCUGUUGAUGGUGCUGUUCAGCUAGUGGUCGAUCGUCCAUACAAGGCUGGGGAGUCCAUUGUUGUUUGGUGUGGACCACAGCCUAACUCAAAAUUGCUUUUGAACUACGGUUUUGUUGAUGAAGAUAAUUCUUAUGAUCGUUUGAUAGUUGAGGCUGCUUUAAAUACUGAGGAUCCUCAAUACCAGGAGAAAAGAAUGGUUGCUCAAAGAAAUGGAAAACUAUCAGUUCAAGUUUUUCAUGUGUAUGUGGGAAAGGAAAAAGAAGCUGUUGCAGAUAUGCUUCCUUAUCUGCGUUUGGGUUAUGUUUCAGAUCCUUCUGAAAUGCAAUCUGUCAUUUCUUCUCAAGGUCCUAUUUGCCCGGUGAGCCCUUGUAUGGAACGAGCAGUGUUGGACCAACUCGCUGAUUACUUUAAGAAACGGCUUGCUGCCUACCCUACUACAUUAGGCGAGGAUGAGUCUUUGUUGGCAGACAGUACUCUUAACCCGAAGAAGCGAGUUGCUACUCAGCUUAUUAAGUUGGAAAAGAAAAUGCUUCAUGCAUGCCUGCAGGCAACAGUUGAUUUGAUAAACCAGUUACCAGAUGACACUGUAUCUCCAUGCCCAGCUCCUUAUGCCCCUUUAUUGAAAUAAAAGAAAUUGAAUAUCCUUUGUAUACUUGCAAACUUUGGGAACUUCUUUGCAGUACAUGGGUAUAUCAGUUCAAAAGGGAGUUCAUAAUCCAGGUAUGUAUAAGAAGCUGUGUUCCGUGUAGUGCAACCAAUGACUGCAAAUUAAAUGGUCACCUACUGUAGUAGCUAUUCAAGAGAGUGAAUCAUGCAUCUUCAGGAGAGUGCAUGUUUUAUUGGUCCCUUGACAUAUUAUUCAACAACCUUCCCUCGUUCUCACAACUUCGUUCCUCAAAAGGUGUAACCAUGUCUUUCUUUCCUCAAAAGUUGUAACUAUAUCGACAAAUGCCCAUGGGAUUGCCUCUUGGUGAAGGAGUGGAAAAGAAAAAUAGAAUACAUUCACUUUAGGGAUGCAUAGAUAUUUUUAGGUAUGUCUUUGUAAAUGCAGACUGAAUUCCAAUGACCAAUCUAAUUCAAUUAUUUUUCUGUAA